rnacentral:rRNA from 1 species
UACGGGGGGGGCAAGCGUUGUUCGGAAUUACUGGGCGUAAAGGGCUCGUAGGUGGCCAACUAAGUCAGACGUGAAAUCCCUCAGCUCAACUCCAGAACUGCCUUUGAUACUGAGGAGCUUGAGUCCGGGAGAGGUGAGUGGAACUGCGAGUGUAGAGGUGAAAUUCGUAGAUAUUCGCAAGAACACCAGUGGCGAAGGCGGCUCACUGGCCCGGUACUGACGCUGAGGUGCGAAAGCGUGGGGAGCAAACAGG